ACAGGUCCCUACCACCGGGCAGAUACACAGCCACCUACACUUGUGUUACCUUGUGGCUGGCGUGGAGGUCUUCUUUUGGCAGGAUCACUUGUGUCUUGACCUAUGCAGGAUCUUGCAAGCACAGCACGAGGAUAAUGGUCGUUAAGCACUGUGACGUCACCAAUAACGCUGUGUUGGGCAAGAAGGUCAGGAGCGGCCGGCGCCGCCUCAGUGUCGGGCUGACAGCCAGCAGACGUAGUUCCUUGGGAGGUGUCCCGCUUCUUACAUCAUUUGCAGCUACACCGGUCAUCAGGGUCUGGCGCGACAAUCGCCACGAGUCUUCUUGAGAAACUUAGUGAACGGAGGACUAGUCAGGCGCACAAGGCACGGAACUAGUUUUGACGUGACGUAGUUGCAAGUCUCGAUAGAGGUGGUUGGACCGUGUUGAACACGGCGCCUGACAAAGUUGCAGGAAUAUCUGAAAGAAA